ensembl:ncRNA F55G11.13 ncRNA
AUAAUGUGUUGUUAGAAGAAUUGUUCUGUCGGCUUUCACCAACGCCAGCAUUCUCUGAACAUCAAUACGAGCCGAUGGAUCCAUUCCUGCAGUUGGUUCAUCCAAAAGGAUCACACGACUUCCACCAAUCAUUGCCAUGCAAACACAAAGCUUUCGCUUCAUUCCACCCGAUAAAUUCUUAGCCAACGUGUCCCGCUUAUCAGUUAACUCAAUUUGCUGCAAUAA